AACGAACGCUGGCGGCAGGCCUAACACAUGCAAGUCGAACGCUCUCUUCGGAGGGAGUGGCAGACGGGCGAGUAACACGUGGGAACCUACCCCUUGGUACGGAAUAACUGAUGGAAACGUUAGCUAAUACCGUAUGAGCGCUGAGGCGGAAAGAUUUACCGCCAAGGGAAGGGCCCGCGUAGGAUUAGCUGGUUGGUGGGGUAAAGGCCUACCAAGGCGACGACCCUUAGCUGGUCUGAGAGGAUGACCAGACACACUGGUACUGAGACACGGCCCAGACUCCUACGGGAGGCAGCAGUGGGGAAUAUUGGACAAUGGGCGGAAGCCUGAACCAGCCAUGCCGCGUGAGUGAUGAAGGCCUUAGGGUUGUAAAGCUCUUUCACCUGGGAAGAUAAUGACGGUACCAGGAGAAGAAGCCCCGGCUAACUUCGUGCCAGCAGCCGCUGUAACAC
rnacentral:rRNA from 1 species